rnacentral:lncRNA from 1 species
UCAGGCGGGCUCCUGAUUGCUGAAUUUGAAAUUGAAUGUAUUCCUCUAUUAUCCAGGCGGGCUCCUGACUUCACAAAAAUAGACAAAACAAAGAAAACUUUCUGCCCCAGUUUGGAAAACUGGUUGUUUGUUACCACAUACUAAUAAGAACUAAAACUUGAAUUGUGAUAAGACUGAAAUGCAACUUUUAAAAAGUCAAAGACUGCAAUGUAUCUUAAAAUUUAAACUUUAUCUUAGGUGAAAAAUUCAUCAGACUAAGAUUUCCAUCUUAGGAGAAAGAUUCAACAGACUAAGAUUUUUACCUCUAUCUUAGGUGAAAAAUUCAUCAGACUAAGAUUUUCAUCUUAGGAGAAAGAUUCAACAGACUAA